ACUGCGGCUGGAAGGGAAGAGAGCGGCCGCGGCUUAGCUCCGGAGGGCUUGGCCAGCGACGGGGGGGGGGGGAGAAGCCUUCUCUAAUCAUCUACAGGCGCUCGUUAAAGCAGCGUCGCCCGGCGCCCUCUCCGCAGGCACGCCGCAGUUGCCGUCCCAGGUUCAAACCAUCGAAGAGGUGACGGCAGCUGCAGCAGCGCCGAGGGCCCCGUCCUCCGCCCGUAACACCGGGCUGAGCUGGAGCAGGGUUCGUGGAAAGACAUGCCAAGACCCAGUGAUGAAGGACCUGAGCCACCCCCAGGUACUAGAAGAGUCCCAGGUCCUGGAUAAUUCCUGCAACUCUGGUGCCUUGAGUUUGUCAACAUCCUUCUAAAGUGCAUCACCCAGCCAAGGCUGCCUUUCUGGAAACAGAUGGUGCCACUGGAAGGCAACGGCCCUUGCACAGUUUUUCAUUAAUUGCAGGUCCCCGACACAGCAGGUGACGGCCACCAUCAGUGCUCCAGAACAGCGCUUGGAGCCUCACGGAGCACACAGACAGCGGGCUGCAGGCUUCCUCCUCCUCUGGUUUUAGACUGGAAUCCUGGUUUGGGGGUUGGUGUGGUAGCCAAGGCUCAGUCUGGGACAACCACGCACAUCUCAUUUAAGCCGAGGUCCAAACCCCGGCUCCCCUGGUCCAUCCUCUGCGAAGCCCAGCUUUCCUCGGCUGCGCACUUCGCGACAGUCUGGGGCGCGGGAGCAGCGGCGCCGAGGGUUUACACCGUCGUGUGCUCUUGCAGGGCGAGGAUGACUCUGAAGAGGGAGCCCCAGGCCGAGGGCUGAGCCCCAGGCCGAGGGCUGAGCCCCAGACCAAGGGCUGAGCCCCAGACCGAGGGCUGAGCCCCACGGGGUUUAGGCAUGUGCACUAACUCACUAACCCGUCACCUUCCCCGUGUGGGGAGUGGCGCAGU